rnacentral:rRNA from 1 species
UACGUAGGGUGCGAGCGUUGUCCGGAAUUAUUGGGCGUAAAGAGCUCGUAGGCGGUUUGUUGCGUCGGCCGUGAAAACCUGCAGCUUAACUGUGGGCCUGCGGCCGAUACGGGCAGACUUGAGUUCGGUAGGGGAGACUGGAAUUCCUGGUGUAGCGGUGAAAUGCGCAGAUAUCAGGAGGAACACCGGUGGCGAAGGCGGUUCUCUGGGACGGUACUGACGCUGAGACGCGAAAGCGUGGGGAGCGAACAGG